UUGAACGCUGGCGGCAUGCCUUACACAUGCAAGUCGAACGGCAGCACGGGGGCAACCCUGGUGGCGAGUGGCGAACGGGUGAGUAAUAUAUCGGAACGUGUCCUGUAGCGGGGGAUAACCUAUCGAAAGAUGGACUAAUACCGCAUACGACCUAUGGGUGAAAGCGGAGGACCGCAAGGCUUCGCACUAUAGGAGCGGCCGAUAUCGGAUUAGCUAGUUGGUGAGGUAAAAGCUCACCAAGGCGACGAUCCGUAGCUGGUCUGAGAGGACGACCAGCCACACUGGAACUGAGACACGGUCCAGACUCCUACGGGAGGCAGCAGUGGGGAAUUUUGGACAAUGGGCGCAAGCCUGAUCCAGCCAUGCCGCGUGAGUGAAGAAGGCCUUCGGGUUGUAAAGCUCUUUCGGCGGGGACGAAAUGGUUCGUGCUAAUACCACGGACUGAUGACGGUACCCGCAGAAGAAGCACCGGCUAACUACGU
rnacentral:rRNA from 1 species